UGGCCUCCAUCCUCCCUCCCCCUCUCCAUCCCUCCCCUCUGUCUCUCCUCCCCUCCCUCUGUCUGCCCCCCCCCUCUGAAGACAGGUUUGUUGCAGCUCUUCAGAUUCUUAUUAAAUCGUGAUGAUGGUUGCUGAAGCUGCCGGCAGACAGAAUGUCCUCCUCCCUCUAAGUGGAGCUUCCACUCCUGCUCCGCCCUCCCUACUGCUCCUCCAUCUGUGUCUCUCUGGGGGAGGGGGGCACUAGUGGAGGAGGAGGAGUCAGGCAGCUCCUACUCCAUGCCCAUGUAUGGCCGUCCUGUCAGGAGACACAAACAGAGACAGUGUGUGAGAGACGAACCAGGAGGACAGGAGGAGAAAGGGAGCCAUCAUGGAAAAGGGAGGUGGAGAAGGAGGAUAAGACAGAAGAGGAGAGGAGGAGGAGCAGGAGAGGAGAGGAGGAAGAGGAUGAGGAGGAUGAGACAGAAGGGAGGUGGAGAAGGAGGAGGAGACAGAAGAGGAGAGGAGCAGAAGGAGACAGAAGAAGAGAGGAGGAGGAGGAAGAGACAGAAGAGGAGAGGAGGAGGAGCAGGAGGAGGAGACAGAAGAGGAGAGGAGGAGGAGGAUGAGACAGAAGGGAGGAGGAGGAGGAGGAGGAGACAGAAGAGGAGAGGAGGAGGAGCAGGAGAGGAGAGGAGGAGGAGGAUGAGACAGAAGAGGAGGAGGAGGAGGAGGAGGAGGAGGAGACAGAAGAGGAGGAGGAGGAGGAGGAGACAGAAGAGGAGAUAAACUGCUUCCUUUAUGCAUCAAUACAGAUGCCAUCGUGCUGGUUUACAACCACUGCGUUAAUAGCAGUACUUCUACUCUGCAGUAUUACUAUGUUACUAGUUCUACUGUUCAAGAUAAAACUAUGAAGAUGCAGGUUAUAAAGAUGUUUUUAUUUUACUUUCGUUCUGCAUCAAUUAAUCUUCUUCUUCAGGUGAAACAUGGGGGCAAUGGUACAUGUGUACAUAUAUACAUGUACACAUGUAUAUAUGUACACAUGUAUAUAUGUACACAUGUAUACCUGUAUAUUCCAUUCAUUUCAUUUUCUAUGGCCCAAAAUCACAAAACGCCUCAAAGAGCUUUACACAUGCAUGAUGUACACAUGCGACAUCCUCUGACCUUUGACCCUCACAUUGACACAGGAACAAAGCCCCAACAAAUAAAAACCCCUCAAUGGGGAGAAAAGGGUUACGUGUGUGUGUGUGUCUGUGUGUGUGUGUGUGUGUGUCUGUGUGUGUGUGUGUGUGUGUGUGUCUGUGUGUGUGUGUGUGUGUGUCUGUGUGUGUGUGUGUGUGUGUGUGUGUGUGUCUGUGUGUGUGUGUGUGUCUGUGUGUGUGAUCUGUAUUAGAAAAAACAUUCAAACAUGAAGUACUGCACACGUCUUCAAACACCUGCACAGACAUCAUUACGUCUUAUUCAUUUUUAUUUUCCAUCUAAUGAUUAAAAACUUUCUAACAAAACAUUUGAUUGCAUUUAAUUUAACACAUUUGUCUCUUCUUUUAAAAUUUUUAUUUUAUUAUUUGUCUAUAUUUGUACUGUAUUUUACAUUGUUGCAUAUAUAGUACUACUACUCUGUGGUAAUACUAUGUAAUACUUUAUACUUUUACUCUGUGGUUCUAUGUAUUAUUAUUUUGAAAUACAGUAUCAGAGUACUUCUAAUCCCCAGUAAUACUACGUUUAAGUACUGAGUUCUGGGAGCUGAAGCGUUUCUUAGAAAACAAGCGACUGCUCCUUUAAACUUUGCAAACGUCGUCACUCAGCCGGAGUAACGAGACGAGAAGACGUGUUUCUGCUGGAAUGGAAACUGCACUCAACAUAUAAACACACACACACACACACACACACACACACACAGACACACACACACACACACACACACACACACACACAGACACACACACACACACACACACACACACACACACACACACACACACACACACAGACACACACACACACAGACACACACACACACACAGACACACACACACACACACACACACACACACACACACACACACACACAGACACACAC
ensembl:lncRNA